rnacentral:rRNA from 1 species
UACAGGGGGGGCAAGCGUUGUUCGGAAUUACUGGGCGUAAAGGGCUCGUAGGCGGCCAACUAAGUCACACGUGAAAUCCCUCAGCUUAACUGGGGAACUGCGUCUGAUACUGGAUGGCUUGAGUUUGGGAGAGGGAUGCGGAAUUCCAGGUGUAGCGGUGAAAUGCGUAGAUAUCUGGAGGAACACCGGUGGCGAAGGCGGCAUCCUGGACCAACACUGACACUGAGGAGCGAAAGCCAGGGGAGCAAACGGG